GAAUUCGCCCUUAGAGUUUGAUCCUGGCUCAGGACGAACGCUGGCGGCGCGCCUAACACAUGCAAGUCGAACGGAGCAUUGAGAGCUUGCUUUUAAUGCUUAGUGGCGAACGGGUGAGUAACGCGUGAGUAACCUGCCCUGGAGUGGGGGACAACAGUUGGAAACGACUGCUAAUACCGCAUAAGCCCACGAUCCGGCAUCGGAUUGAGGGAAAAGGAUUUAUUCGCUUCAGGAUGGACUCGCGUCCAAUUAGCUAGUUGGUGAGGUAACGGCCCACCAAGGCGACGAUUGGUAGCCGGACUGAGAGGUUGAACGGCCACAUUGGGACUGAGACACGGCCCAGACUCCUACGGGAGGCAGCAGUGGGGGAUAUUGCACAAUGGGGGAAACCCUGAUGCAGCGACGCCGCGUGGAGGAAGAAGGUUUUCGGAUUGUAAACUCCUGUCGUUAGGGACGAUAAUGACGGUACCUAACAAGAAAGCACCGGCUAACUACGUGCCAGCAGCCGCGGUAAAACGUAGGGUGCAAGCGUUGUCCGGAAUUACUGGGUGUAAAGGGAGCGCAGGCGGACCGGCAAGUUGGAAGUGAAAACUAUGGGCUCAACCCAUAAAUUGCUUUCAAAACUGCUGGCCUUGAGUAGUGCAGAGGUAGGUGGAAUUCCCGGUGUAGCGGUGGAAUGCGUAGAUAUCGGGAGGAACACCAGUGGCGAAGGCGACCUACUGGGCACCAACUGACGCUGAGGCUCGAAAGCAUGGGUAGCAAACAGGAUUAGAUACCCUGGUAGUCCAUGCCGUAAACGAAUGAAUUACUAGGUGUUGGAGGAUUGACCCCUUCAGUGCCGCAGUUAACACAAUAAGUAAUCCACCUGGGGAGUACAACCGCAAGGUUGAAACUCAAAGGAAUUGACGGGGGCCCGCACAAGCAGUGGAGUAUGUGGUUUAAUUCGAAGCAACGCGAAGAACCUUACCAGGUCUUGACAUCCGAUGCAUAGCGCAGAGAUGCGUGAAGUCCUUCGGGACAUCGAGACAGGUGGUGCAUGGUUGUCGUCAGCUCGUGUCGUGAGAUGUUGGGUUAAGUCCCGCAACGAGCGCAACCCUUAUUGCCAGUUACUACGUAAGAGGACUCUGGCGAGACUGCCGUUGACAAAACGGAGGAAGGUGGGGAUGACGUCAAAUCAUCAUGCCCUUUAUGACCUGGGCUACACACGUACUACAAUGGCGUUUAACAAAGAGAAGCAAGACCGCGAGGUGGAGCAAAACUCAAAAACAACGUCUCAGUUCAGAUUGCAGGCUGCAACUCGCCUGCAUGAAGUCGGAAUUGCUAGUAAUCGCGGAUCAGCAUGCCGCGGUGAAUACGUUCCCGGGCCUUGCACACACCGCCCGUCA
rnacentral:rRNA from 1 species